GAGAGAACUAGAAUCUUUUCUGACGUCACCUGUGUUGUGGUUACAAAAGCUGCUUGUGGGAUAUUCCUUCAGUGCCUUUUGCGUUCUCAAUCAGGCAUGUUUUCCUGGCUGCGCAGGCUAUUUCACAGGGAGAAUGGCGAUCAAGGAGAGACAAGACCAAGGGAGAAGGAAUCUGCCAUCCCUUCUUGUAAAAACAGAAGAAUGAAAUCAUUCUGGGGAAGGCACAGUGAGUCCUGGGCAGAGUUGGAGAAUUUUCUGGAACAGUGUCUGCUGGGAAAACAUCAUCCCAAAAUUGCAACAUCACUAAUCAUAUGAAGAAUAUGAAUAAACUAGACGAUAUGAAAUUUUAUAUCAGAAAGAUAAAUGCUGAGAGGUUAGAACUUUUUCGAAUCUUGGACAUUGACAUGAAUACUGAUUUGAACUACAGGAUGAACACUGAAUUCACCAUCAUUAAAUCACAACAUGAGAAGACAAUGUUGGAUAUGGAAAAAAUGACACAGUCAAUAAGUGAUACCAUUGAGAAGUACAAGGAAUUCAUAGAAGAUAAGGAUUCCUACAGGUGUGAAAUACUCCAGCAGAAACUGGAACAUGGAACAGACCAGGACAAGGUCUCCUUUGAAGAUAACAUCUAUAGGGGGAUCUCUGCGUGUGCGAAGCAAAUACUUCAUCUCAUCCCCAGUCAUCAUGGCUAUCAUCUGCUGCAUUUUCUUCCUUUACUUUUCUUUCCUUGCAAUGAAUAGCCCUUAAUUUCAUCUGGGCUCUGGCUCAGCAAGAGUGAGCAUGUAGAGGGAUUUAGACAUGUGCUGAGACACAUCAAGAGCUACUGGGAAAACAGGAAGAUUCUGAGAGUGUAAAUUUUUCUUGUCCUGAUAGGUCAUCAAGGAAAAUUAGAAAAUCAUUCUACAAAAUCACAAAGACUUUGAGCUAAAUUCUGUAACAUGUUUUCUGCUUAGUCUUGGAUGUCCAUAUUCUUCAAAACCAUACUCCAAAAAAGGAGACCUACUUACAUUCCUCUUGUAAAGAUUGUUACCAGAAGUAACUUAUUUUCUACUGUGUUGCCAAAGACAGCCAUGGGCUGUAAGUCUGUGCUGCUAAAUAACAGCCAAAGAAGGCUCUUUAGCACAAUUCUUGUUUUUAGAUUUUGGUUUGAGCUUUGAUUACUUUUGUUCUUUGGUUUUCUUUAGUUUCAUUAGAAGUUUUUUUGUUUCUUUGUUUGUUUCUUUGGUGUUGUUUGGUUUUGUAAUUGAUUUAAUAUUUUGAUAAGACUAUACACUGUACAUAUUGACUGCCCACUUUUAGUUACUAUUGAGUAAAUUGGAUGUAUUCUUGUGAAUAAAACAGUGAUCUCUAA